GGCAGCAAGGGAGAUUGUNUCCCGNUAUGUUAGCGGNGUGACGGGAUGAGAUAANACUGAUGGNCUAACCUGCCUUGCUCCGACUGGGGAUAACUCCGGGCAAACCGGAGCUAAUACCGGAUAGUUCCUUGAACCGCAUGGAUUCAAGGAUGAAAGACGGUUUCGGCUGUCACUUACAGAUGGACCCGCGGCGCAUUAGCUAGUUGGUGAGGUAACGGCUCACCAAGGNGACNAUGCGUAGCCGACCUGAGAGGGUGAUCGGCCACACUGGGACUGAGACACGGCCCACACUCCUACGGGAGGCAGCAGUAGGGAAUCUUCCGCAAUGGACGAAAGUCUGACGGAGCAACGCCGCGUGAGUGAUGAAGGUUUUCGGAUCGUAAAGCUCUGUUGUUAGGGAAGAACAAGUGCAAGAGUAACUGCUUGCNCCUUGAC
rnacentral:rRNA from 1 species